AACGAACGCUGGCGGCAUGCCUAACACAUGCAAGUCGAACGAGACCUUCGGGUCUAGUGGCGCACGGGUGCGUAACGCGUCGGAACCUGCCCUUAGGGUCGGAAUAACUCCCCGAAAGGGGUGCUAAUACCGGAUAAUGUCUUCGGCCCAAAGAUUUAUCGCCCUUGGAUGGGCCCGCGUUGGAUUAGCUAGUUGGUAGGGUAAAAGCCUACCAAGGCGACGAUCCAUAGCUUGUAUGUGAGGAAGAUCAGCCACACUGGGACUGAGACACGGCCCAGAAUCCUACGGGAGGCAGGAGUGGGGGAUAUUGGAAAGUGGGCGAAAGCAUGAUCGAGCUAUGCCGGGUGAGUGAUGAAGGCCGUAAGGUUGUAAAGCUCUUUUACCCAGGAUGAUAAUGACAGUACCGGGAGAAAAAGCUCCGGCUAACUCCGUG
rnacentral:rRNA from 1 species